rnacentral:rRNA from 1 species
UACGUAGGGUGCAAGCGUUAAUCGGAAUUACUAGGCGUAAAGCGUGCGCAGGCGGUUUUGUAAGACUGUCGUGAAAUCCCCGGGCUCAACCUGGGAAUGGCGAUGGUGACUGCAAGGCUAGAGUUUGGCAGAGGGGGGUAGAAUUCCACGUGUAGCAGUGAAAUGCGUAGAUAUGUGGAGGAACACCGAUGGCGAAGGCAGCCCCCUGGGUCAAAACUGACGCUCAUGCACGAAAGCGUGGGGAGCAAACAGG